GCAAACUUGGUCAUUUAGAGGAAGUAAAAGUCGUAACAAGGUUUCCGUAGGUGAACCUGCGGAAGGAUCAUUAACAAUUAUCCAUUAUGGAUAAUUUUAUCCAUAUCCACCUUGUGUGAAUCAUAGAAGUGUUUGUUGGCAGGUUUAAGCAGUCUUUGUUAAAGAUGGCUGUGGGUUGGAGCUGAGAUUGUCAGUUGCCACUCGGCCUGCCAAUUUUAUGUUUAAAACACGUCUAAACAUUAACCGUCUGAAAUAAAUAUUUUUAAUAAAUACAACUUUCAACAACGGAUCUCUUGGCUCUCGCAUCGAUGAAGAACGCAGC
rnacentral:misc_RNA from 1 species